GACGAACGCUGGCGGCGUGCUUAACACAUGCAAGUCGAACGGUGACGUGCCUUCCUUUUUGGUGGGUGUGUAUCAGCGGCGAACGGGUUAGUAACACGUUAGUCACCUGCCCCCUCCUUCUGGAUAACCGCAUGAAAGUGUGGCUAAUACGGGAUAUUUUGGGUCUGUCGCUUGUUGGGUCUGGGAAAGAUAUUGUUUCGGUGGGGGAUGGGCUCGCGGCCUAUCAGCUUGUUGGUGGGGUGAUGGCCUACCAAGGCGGUGACGGGUAGCCGGCCUGAGAGGGUGGGCGGUCACACAGGGACUGAGAGACGGAGCAGACUCCGACGGGAGGCAGCAGUGGGGAAUAUUGCACAAUGGGCGCAAGCGUGAUGCAGCGACGCCGCGUGGGGGAUGGAGGGCUUCGGGUGGUGAACCUCUUUCGCGAGUGAAGCAGGCCGGCCUCGAUUGUGGGUGGGUUGACGGUAGCUGGUGAAGAAGCGCCGGCUAACUACGUG
rnacentral:rRNA from 1 species